UAAUACACAUGACUGAAAUAUUGUGAUAGAAGGGUACAGUUGAGAUUGAAAUAGGAGACAGGCAUUUUGAAAGUCUAUGGGUAAGUAUAAAAGGGGUAAAAAACAAGGGUGAUGUCAUGAUAGGUGUCUACUAUAGACCACAUAACCAGGAAGAAUAUGUGGAUGAGGCUUU